rnacentral:rRNA from 1 species
GUAGGUGGCAAGCGUUGUCCGGAAUUAUUGGGGCGUAAAGCGCGCGCAGGCGGUUCUUUAAGUCUGAUGUGAAAGCCCACGGGCUCAACCGUGGAGGGUCAUUGGAAACUGGAGAACUUGAGUACAGAAGAGGAAAGCGGAAUUCCACGUGUAGCGGUGAAAUGCGUAGAGAUGUGGAGGGACACCAGUGGCGAAGGCGGCUUUCUGGUCUGUAACUGACGCUGAGGCGCGAAAGCGUGGGGAGCAAACAGGAUUAGAUACCCUGGUAGUCCACGCCGUAAACGAUGAGUGCUAAGUGUUAGGGGGUUUCCGCCCCUUAGUGCUGCAGCUAACGCAUUAAGCACUCCGCCUGGGGAGUACGGCCGCAAAGGCUG